AUUGAACGCUGGCGGCAGGCCUAACACAUGCAAGUCGAGCGGAAGAAGGGAGCUUGCUCCUGGAUUCAGCGGCGGACGGGUGAGUAAUGCCUAGGAAUCUGCCUGGUAGUGGGGGAUAACGUCCGCAAACGGGCGCUAAUACCGCAUACGUCCUGAUGGAGAAAGUGGGGGAUCUUCGGACCUCACGCUCUCAGAUGAGCCUAGGUCGGAUUAGCUAGUUGGUGGGGUAAAGGCCUACCAAGGCGACGAUCCGUAACUGGUCUGAGAGGAUGAUCAGUCACACUGGAACUGGGACACGGUCCAGACUCCUACGGGAGGCAGCAGUGGGGAAUAUUGGACAAUGGGCGAGAGCCUGAUCCAGCCAUGCCGCGUGUGUGAAGAAGGUCUUCGGAUUGUAAAGAACUUUAAGUUGGGAGGAAGGGCAGUAAGUUAAUACCUUGCUGGUUUGACGUUACCAACAGAAUAAGCACCGGCUAACUUCGUG
rnacentral:rRNA from 1 species